rnacentral:lncRNA from 1 species
UAUUUAUAGUUCUCAUCCCAUAUUUUUUAGGUCCACACGUGAGCGGCACGGCGAUGCGAGGAAAGGGCGUAGCUCUGUAGAUAGUGCCCUACCACUUGAGAUCAAAGAUAGAUGUACCCCGAGUCAGCAUAGCUUAGGGGUAUAGAGAAGAAAAGAAUUAAGACAAAAUUGUAUUAAAGUUUGAUUGUAUUUAGAAGAAUGUAAAUGUAAAUGUAAAUGUAAUGUGAAUAUAAACUGAAUGCUCGUAAUAGCAUAAUAUUUAUAUUU